UUUAGAGUUUUGUNNNCCCGCUCAGGACGAACGCUGGCGGCGUGCCUAAUACAUGCAAGUCGAGCGAACAGAGAAGGAGCUUGCUCCUUCGACGUUAGCGGCGGACGGGUGAGUAACACGUGGGCAACCUACCUUAUAGUUUGGGAUAACUCCGGGAAACCGGGGCUAAUACCGAAUAAUCUGUUUCACCUCAUGGUGAAACACUGAAAGACGGUUUCGGCUGUCGCUAUAGGAUGGGCCCGCGGCGCAUUAGCUAGUUGGUGAGGUAACGGCUCACCAAGGCGACGAUGCGUAGCCGACCUGAGAGGGUGAUCGGCCACACUGGGACUGAGACACGGCCCAGACUCCUACGGGAGGCAGCAGUAGGGAAUCUUCCACAAUGGGCGAAAGCCUGAUGGAGCAACGCCGCGUGAGUGAAGAAGGAUUUCGGUUCGUAAAACUCUGUUGUAAGGGAAGAACAAGUACAGUAGUAACUGGCUGUACCUUGACGGUACCUUAUUAGAAAGCCACGGCUAACUACGUGCCAGCAGCCGCGGUAAUACGUAGGUGGCAAGCGUUGUCCGGAAUUAUUGGGCGUAAAGCGCGCGCAGGUGGUUUCUUAAGUCUGAUGUGAAAGCCCACGGCUCAACCGUGGAGGGUCAUGGAAACUGGGAGACUGAGGCAGAAG
rnacentral:rRNA from 1 species